AAUGACGUCUCUAAGAAGACAUCUAGGAAGGAGAUUAAAGUAUUUAUCGGUGAUGGAUGGGGAUGCGUCUGAUUAGCUUGUUGGCGGGGUAACGGCCCACCAAGGCGACGAUCAGUAGGGGUUCUGAGAGGAAGGUCCCCCACAUUGGAACUGAGACACGGUCCAAACUCCUACGGGAGGCAGCAGUGAGGAAUAUUGGUCAAUGGACGAGAGUCUGAACCAGCCAAGUAGCGUGCAGGAUGACGGCCCUAUGGGUUGUAAACUGCUUUUAUAAGGGAAUAAAGUGGGAGUCGUGACUCUUUUUGCAUGUACCUUAUGAAUAAGGACCGGCUAAUUCCGUG
rnacentral:rRNA from 1 species